rnacentral:rRNA from 1 species
UACGAAGGGUGCAAGCGUUAAUCGGAAUUACUGGGCGUAAAGUGUGCGUAGGCGGUUGGCUAAGUCAGAUGUGAAAGCCCUGGGCUCAACCUGGGAAUGGCAUUUGAACUGGCCGGCUAGAGUGUGAUAGAGGAUGGCGGAAUUCCCGGUGUAGCGGUGAAAUGCGCAGAUAUCGGGAGGAACACCAAUGGCGAAGGCAGCUCGCUGGGACGUUACUGACGCUGAGACGCGAAAGCGUGGGGAGCAAACAGGG